UUUUUGCAGUGUGGCAGGGCGCAUUAUCCUGCUGAAAGAGGCGACUGCCAUUACGGAAUACUGUUGGCAUGAAGGAAUGUACUUGGUCUGCAACAAUGUUUAGGUAGGUAAUACGUGUAAAACUAACAUCCGGAUGAAUGCCAGGACACAAGUUUUCCCAGCAGAACACUGCAAUGCACUGUGUGUUCUGACAUCUUUCUAUCAUAGCAUUAACUUUUUCAGCAAAUUUGUGCAACAGUAGUUCUUCUCUGUGAUUGGACCAGACGGGCUAACCUUCGCUUACCAUGCACAUCAAUGAGCCUUGGGUGCCAUGACCCUGUCGUCGAUUCACCGGUUGUCCUUUCUUGGACUUUUGCUGUGCUGGUUUGUCUGUGACGUAGUAGGAUUGUGAUUCUGGCUCUCUGCAGACGCUGAAGGGAGGAGCAGUGACUGUGUUUGGGGAGGGAAAGAAAGGACCAAUCAGGCCCUACUGUUGUCAUCUGCAUACAGACACAAGCAAAGGAUGACAUAUUGCUCUCUGUCUCACAUUCUCAUCAUACACACUCUCUCAGGCUCUCCAUCCUUUUGCUCUGGUUCAGUCUAGACAAUCUAACACUUAAAACACAUGCUCAUAUGUCUGUCACAGAUCAGAUAGACACUGAUUAUAAACUCAUCUGUAGGUGUAAACUCCAGUCCUGAAAGGCUAGAGUCCAGUGCAGUUUGGUGAUUUACUGAUGCAUUAAAUGAGGUGUGCUAGAGCAGGGAGGAGCUGGACUAACCCUGUUGGCCUACAGUGGUUCAAUACAGUAAACACAGUUGUUCAAUAUCUUAUCAGUUCAUUAACAAGUUUCUCCCCAAAUGGCUAAGGAAUUUUCGGUUUAAUUAACUAAUCAUAAUCAUGUGUGAUCUUGCUGAGCCUGCUAAACUUACCUAAUUGGCGACCAGUACAUAUCAGUUUAUAUCUGUCUCUAUUCAUAUGUUUCAUAAUUAGUUACAUAUCCUACUGGUAUAUUUCUGAGUCUAGUUGUGUUCAUAAAAUGGACAUGUUUAAGUCCUUAAAUUCCAUAAGAGACAGGUGUAUAAAUCACAACCUUUACCAAAAUUUAUAUGUUAAACCUAAGGCUUACCAGAAAUGUCCACAUUUGCAUAACAGCCUGACAGAAUUUUGUUUGAAUCUUAUGUGCAAUAUCGACAUUAAAAUGUACAACUUAAAACUUUAAAAUUUGUUAUUAAUGACAUAGAAAUGUA
ensembl:lncRNA